CUGCAAAUAAUUACAAGGACUGUAAAAGAAAUGAAUUUACAUUUUUGAACCGUACAAGCUGCACCCCGAAACACCAACGAGCAACCACCGCGACAAGGAGGCCUAUGCGGUGUUAUAUGGACCGCUGACGAGUACUGGCUUUGGAGGGACUAAUUACUGACUCCAGGAUGAUGCUGUAGCACUUUCUCCUGCAAACGACGACUGCCGUAGAAACACAAACCAAACAUUGGACUGCAAUUCUUGGACAUCGAACACGAUGCUGGUAAUGUUUCAGUGAAUCCCUUUUGAAAUAUGAUUUGGAAUUGGGGGGAGAGAAAUGUCGAAGCUGUUUCAGAAGGUUGCUGGGUUCUUUACCAAUCGGACUAUGGUGGGAAUGGACAGAGCUGGCAACCGUUACUUCGCCAGAAAAGAGGAGGUCGAUGGCAUCAUGAAAGAGGAAAGAUGGGUGGCAUUCAAGGGCGAGGACGAUCCGACCUCAAUUCCAGUUGAGUGGAUAUGUUGGCUCAAUGGGCAGCGGAAAAGGGCUCCAACGCAGGAGGAACUGGCAGAAUUGGAAGCAAGACGUGAACGUGUCCGGCAGAAUGUUGCUCUUCUAAAGAAAGAAGAAGAGGAAAGGAAAGCAAGAGAAUGCAGUACGCACAAAAUCAUCAACACCGAUAAAGUCGGAGGUUCAGAUUUGAAAAGUUUCAUUCGGCAAUUUCCUGGGUCUUCUGAAGGUGGUGUAAAUCAGGAAGAAUCUGUUGCCACAGAAGGAGUGAGGUAGGUCUGCUAACAUGAGUAACAACACCACCACCGCUAUCCAUCCUGCUCAAGAACUCCAAAGAGAAAGAGGCAAAGAAAGCAAAAGAAGUUCCAGAGUCUACAGAGCCAACAGGAUCCGGUCAAACAUUCAGGCCAGGGACAUGGCAGCCACCAACAUGAAGUCGAGUUGAUAAUGCCGUAAUGCAUAAUUAAGGGUCCGACCACACUAACCCUUGUGUCGAAGCAUAAUGCACGGAUUUGUUCUGCCGGGGCCAGAGUAUAGCUGAGUUGUUAGAAUAUUGGCGAAGCUCCGUAUCGUUGUAGCCUUGUAGGGAGCUUCUUUUGUGGCACAAUGCAGUGCAUUUGAUUUUUGCUUUCUCUCUGAGAUCCAAAGAAAAGAAAGAACAAGCACAAUACAUCCUUCAUUUUUAAUUUUUUGACAAGUGAAUACAGAGUUGUACACCAAAUUUUUGUUACAUUUAUGUACAUCGAGGUCGCUAUGACUUGCAAUUUUGGUUACAUUUA